UACGUAGGUGGCAAGCGAUACUCGGAAUCGCUAGGCGUAAAGCGCAGGUAGGAGGUUUGGAAAGUCUCUUGUGAAAGCUCCCGGCUUAACUGGGAGAGGUCAAGGGAAACUACUAGGCUAGAGUGCGGUAGAGGUAGCUGGAAUUCCCGGUGUAGCGGUGAAAUGCGUAGAUAUCGGGAGGAAUACCUAUGGCGAAAGCAGGCUACUGGACCGUCACUGACGCUCAGGCGCGAAAGCGUGGGGAGCAAACAGG
rnacentral:rRNA from 1 species